ACGAACGCUGGCGGCGUGCUUAACACAUGCAAGUCGCACGGAAAGGCCCUGCUUGCAGGGUACUCGAGUGGCGAACGGGUGAGUAACACGUGGGUGAUCUGCCCUGCACUUCGGGAUAAGCUUGGGAAACUGGGUCUAAUACCGGAUAGGACCGCACUUUAGUGUGUGUGGUGGAAAGUUUUUUCGGUGUAGGAUGAGCUCGCGGCCUAUCAGCUUGUUGGUGGGGUAAUGGCCUACCAAGGCGGCGACGGGUAGCCGGCCUGAGAGGGUGUACGGCCACAUUGGGACUGAGAUACGGCCCAGACUCCUACGGGAGGCAGCAGUGGGGAAUAUUGCACAAUGGGCGCAAGCCUGAUGCAGCGACGCCGCGUGGGGGAUGAAGGCCUUCGGGUUGUAAACUCCUUUCGCUAGGGACGAAGCUUUGUUGUGACGGUACCUAGAUAAGAAGCACCGGCUAACUACGUG
rnacentral:rRNA from 1 species